AACAGAAAAAAAGCAAUAUAUUCAAAAAAGAAAAGAAGCAAAAGCAACAGAUAAAAAAAGCAAUAUCCAAAAGAGAAAAGAAAAAGAAAAACAAAAGCAACAUCCACUCGCCAACUUGGAGUUGUUGCUCUUGAUGCACAUACAAUUGAGUGCUUGGAAAAUAAUUUUUGGUGCUGGCAAGAUGAAGACACAACCGCUACUGCAUGCAAGGCAUGUGUAGACAAAGCCUGUACAAUGGAUUCUGUGGGUCAAAUCUUGAGUCGACAAGGUAGAGAUGGAUGCUAUACAAAAGAGAAAAAGAAGGCAUAUGAAACAAUGAAACCAAAGAGAGUAUCAAAGGAGGAGAUACUUCGUCUAAUGGAAGAAAAGAA